AACGAACGCUGGCGGCAUGCCUAACACAUGCAAGUCGAACGAGACCUUCGGGUCUAGUGGCGCACGGGUGCGUAACGCGUGGGAACCUUCCCUUAGGUUCGGAAUAACUCCCCGAAAGGGGUGCUAAUACCGGAUAAUGUCUUCGGACCAAAGAUUUAUCGCCUUUGGAUGGGCCCGCGUUGGAUUAGCUAGUUGGUAGGGUAAAAGCCUACCAAGGCGACGAUCCAUAGCUGGUCUGAGAGGAUGAUCAGCCACUCUGGGACUGAGACACGGCCCAGACUCCUACGGGAGGCAGCAGUGGGGAAUAUUGGACAAUGGGCGAAAGCAUGAUCCAGCAUUGCCGCGUGAGUGAUGAAGGCCUUAGGGUUGUAAAGCUCUUUUACCCGGGAUGAUAAUGACAGUACCGGGAGAAUAAGCUCCGGCUAACUCCGUG
rnacentral:rRNA from 1 species